rnacentral:rRNA from 1 species
GCGGCGGACGGGUGAGUAACACGUGGGCAACCUGCCCUGCAGACUGGGAUAACUUCGGGAAACCGGAGCUAAUACCGGAUAACACCGAAAACCGCAUGGUUUUCGGUUGAAAGGCGGCUUUUACCUGUCACUGCAGGAUGGGCCCGCGGCGCAUUAGCUAGUUGGUGAGGUAACGGCUCACCAAGGCGACGAUGCGUAGCCGACCUGAGAGGGUGACCGGCCACACUGGGACUGAGACACGGCCCAGACUCCUACGGGAGGCAGCAGUAGGGAAUCUUCCGCAAUGGACGAAAGUCUGACGGAGCAACGCCGCGUGAGCGAAGAAGGUCUUCGGAUCGUAAAGCUCUGUUGUCAGGGAAGAACAAGUGCCGUUCGAACAGGGCGGUACCUUGACGGUACCUGACGAGGAAGCCACGGCUAACUACGUGCCAGCAGCCGCGGUAAUAC